UAUAUAUUUAAUAUUUCCUGGACACCUUAAGUUCUGGACCCCAUUACAAAUCCUUCUUUUGGGGCCUCCCUGGCUUCACCCUCCUACAGAUCCCCCCUUUCAGAUAUACAACCCCUUUAUAAUCAUAUAAAAGGACAAGGGGUGAAGAUCUCAUCUUCUUAUAGCUACUUCUGGCUGGACAUGGAUGUCGUCCUACCUACCCUUUGGUCAGGGGUUUUCUGAAAGAAGGCGAGGUGGGUGCAGCCAAGAG